rnacentral:misc_RNA from 1 species
UACGGGGGGGGCAAGCGUUGUUCGGAUUUACUGGGCGUAAAGGGCGCGUAGGCGGCCUGUUAAGUCGGAUGUGAAAACUGGGGGCUCAACCCUCAGCCUGCAUCCGAUACUGGCAAGCUAGAGUGCGAGAGGGGAAGGCGGAAUUCCUGGUGUAGCGGUGAAAUGCGUAGAUAUCAGGAGGAACACCGGUGGCGAAGGCGGCCUUCUGGAUCGCAACUGACGCUGAGGCGCGAAAGCUAGGGGAGCAAACAGG